UGAUGGAUUGCACUAAAUAGGGGUUAGCUUUAAUUUAAUAAUUUGUGAGAUAUUCUUGCUAAUCUAUGUGUAAAUUGCUUUUCAGGACUAUGAGUGUGUGUUUGGCCAUCCAGAUUUCAUAACUACAACUGAUGUUCAAUUACAAGGGAUAUUAAUCAGUCUCCGUGGACUAUACACUGUGCCUAGUUUCAUCCUCAGAGACUGAUGUGUAAGCUUAAAGUAAAGACAUCAAAUCAAAGUAUCAGCCAUCAAGAGGAAAAACAUUCAAAAUCAUAUUGUGAUAC